GGGNNNUUGCCAUGGGGGAACCCUGNUGCAGCGACGCCGCGUGAGCGAUGAAGCCCUUCGGGGUGUAAAGCUCUUUCGGCAGGAACGAUAAUGACGGUACCUGCAAAAGAAGCUGCGGCUAACUACGUGCCAGCAGCCGCGGUAAUACGUAGGCAGCAAGCGUUGUUCGGAGUUACUNGGGCGUAAAGAGUGUGUAGGCGGUCCUCUAAGUUCGGUGUGAAAUCUCCCGGCUCAACUGGGAGGGUGCGCCGGAAACUGGAGGGCUCGAGUAUGGGAGAGGGAAGCGGAAUUCCUGGUGUAGCGGUGAAAUGCGUAGAUAUCAGGAGGAACACCUGCGGUGUAGACGGCUUCCUGGACCAUGACUGACGCUGAGACACGAAAGCGUGGGGAGCAAACAGGAUUAGAUACCCUGGUAGUCCACGCCCUAAACGAUGCAUACUUGGUGUGGGCCGUUCAGUCGGUCCGUGCCGGAGCUAACGCGUUAAGUAUGCCGCCUGGGGAGUACGGUCGCAAGGCUGAAACUCAAAAGAAUUGACGGA
rnacentral:rRNA from 1 species